rnacentral:rRNA from 1 species
CUCGUAGGCGGUCUGUCGCGUCUGCUGUGGAAACGCAAGGCUCAACCUUGCGCGUGCAGUGGGUACGGGCGGACUAGAGUGCAGUAGGGGAGUCUGGAAUUCCUGGUGUAGCGGUGAAAUGCGCAGAUAUCAGGAGGAACACCGGUGGCGAAGGCGGGACUCUGGGCUGUUACUGACGCUGAGGAGCGAAAGCAUGGGGAGCGAACAGGAUUAGAUACCCCCGUA